rnacentral:rRNA from 1 species
GAUGAACGCUGGCGGCGUGCCUAAUACAUGCAAGUCGAGCGAACAGACGAGGAGCUUGCUCCUCUGACGUUAGCGGCGGACGGGUGAGUAACACGUGGAUAACCUACCUAUAAGACUGGGAUCACUUCGGGAAACCGGAGCUAAUACCGGAUAAUAUAUUGAACCGCAUGGUUCAAUAGUGAAAGACGGUUUUGCUGUCACUUAUAGAUGGAUCCGCGCCGCAUUAGCUAGUUGGUAAGGUAACGGCUUACCAAGGCAACGAUGCGUAGCCGACCUGCGAGGGUGAUCGGCCACACUGGAGCUUAGACACGGUCCAGACUCCUACGGGAGGCAGCAGUAGGGAAUCUUCCGCAAUGGGCGAAAGCCUGACGGAGCAACGCCGCGUGAGUGAUGAAGGUCUUCGGAUCGUAAAACUCUGUUAUUAGGGAAGAACAAAUGUGUAAGUAACUAUGCACGUCUUGACGGUACCUAAUCAGAAAGCCACGGCUAACUACGUG